CUCAAAUGCGCUGAGGUGGCCGCAGCCGCAUCGGUGUCCUGGCAGACAGGGGAGGCCUGCAUAUACGGCACCACAUCCCUCGUCUCCCACUGCCUGACGAAGGGGGAGAACAUUGCCUUUGUCCUGAAGGACAUAGGAGUUCUCCUCAUUGAUGGAACACGAGUUCAAAUGAAAUACUACCGCGACUUCCUGGAGAGGAUCUGUGGGAAGGAGGACCUAAAAAUAGCUCUUUCCAAGGUCCCCUGCUUGAGGGACAUGGUGGUUUCCCGGGUGGCGGUGUUGGCCUCCCUGACGUUCUCCGGCCGGGUCAUCGUCUUUCCCAAGUUUCAACAGGAGUUCGUACCAAAACCACCUCCCAGGAAACCCCGCGAGGCCUCAGAAGUCCCUCCGGACCAGGGCAAGAAAGGGACAUUCCCUGAAUUGCCUCCCUUGCCCGGCUGCGUCCGUGUUACUUUUCUACAAGACCCGGGAUCCAGGAAGAAAUCAGGUGUCACCACCAAGAAGUCCAGUCAGCUGCCAGCAACCCCAGAGGGGUCUUCUACCAGAACGCAGCCCGGGAAAAAGAAAGAGGGAAAAUCC
ensembl:lncRNA